CCGAGGGUCCCGCACAGACAAUGAUACGGUGACGUGGAGUCCUAGAACCCCUGCGGGAGGGGCGUGGGAGCGACAAGGCGGUGGAGGGCUGGGCCGUCUCGGGCUCGCACUCCCGCAGUAGCGGCGGCGGCGGCGACACAGCUGACAGCUUGAGGGAUGCUCCGCUACGCAAGUCACAACAAUGCACUAUGACGUCACAUAAGGGAAUGGCGACUGCACAAAACAUCCCAGCCGAGGCGGCCGCGCUCGCGAGCAAACCGCACGAGACGCAGAGGAAAGAAAAGGCCUGCCACAGAUCUCGCGAGAGCUUGUCAAGACCCCCCCUCUAUUCAACCCACCCCCGUCUCCCUCCCCGGGUCGUUUUACAAAUAGGAGACAUAAUGAAAGCAACACUACAUCUCCCAAUGUGCAAUACGCCCGAGCGCUGCGGUUGUGUUUGUACGAGUAUAUGUUUUCGUUUUAAAGGUAAUCGUUUGUAUGCCGGGUCUUGUGGUUUGCGGGAGCUAACAGAAAGGAAGGAUUUUUUUGUUGUUGUUAACAGUACAUCCAACUGGGGCCGGUUCCAAGUUCCAGGUGGGGGCGGGGCCCCCUCAACUAUAGAUGUCUGAUGCGCUUCCAUCGUAUUCGUCUCCAGCAAGCCCAAGACAGCCGGGUAAGCCAGGUUUGACCCCCUCACCUGCUCGCCCCCUCCCGGGCCGUCCGUCUUAAUUCCCCUACGGCACCGAACGCCGAAGGAAGGGGGCGUGUCGGGUGGAUCCGCCUUCCACCCACCACCGCAGGUUGCUGUGCGUUCUCCCAGAUUUCGGUCUCCGUGACCAGGUGCGAUGCUUAGGAACACGGAUGUAGACAGCAGAUGGGUUACUGCUGCCGUUCUAUACUCAUCCAGUUAUUGGAAAAACUACAGAAGAACCAGCACCGCCAGCUCUUCAAUGAACAGAGACGUAAAUAGAUAUGGGGACAGGUUACAUCGCCUUCCCUUCUCUCCCGAAUUCCGGAGAAGUUCGCGAUAUGAAUCACUAGAUUUUGUCAGCAUUAGAAGACCCCAAAGCUUUUUUUUUUCUCUCUCUCUCUCUUAGAAUGAGUUGGAUUGCCGAGAAACUCAAAUCUUCAACGAUUUGAGUGUACUUCCUGCCUGGGGCCGCCUUUUCCAGCUCCUUAUCGAGCGCUGUAACUUUUAUCUCUUCCGCAGUGAUUUGUCUAGGUCCCCAAUACGUCCUGAGGGUUCGCUGUAUCCUUGCAGGCAAUAAAGAGUCUGGCCUCAGCAGACUCAAUUAACAAAACCUAGAUUUUGCAUGUAUUAAUAACUUGGAAACAUUUUACAUUCAAAAUACCUUGUCAUUUUUAACAUUGUCGCAUGGUCUAGUUAGAAAAUAAAAUAGUAUAGAAACUACUGUCUUGGGCCAGGAUCAGAGGAAGCCCUCUAUUCUGCUUACAGAGAUUGUUAGGUAAGCAUUAGCCAAGCACUGUUUUUCUGUCUUGUCCAAUAUAAGUUUGCUGUUGUGGGAAUGUAAUGUUGGAGGAGGGGACACACACCCAUACGCCAUAUAUCACGGGUGUGAAACUCGCAGUGUCACAUGACGUGUCAUGAUGGUAUCAUGACUUUUUUUCCAUUGGCAAUGGGGUGGGUGCAGUUUUGCCAUGAUGCAUCUGGCCCGUGGGCCGGCAGUUUGACAUCCCUGCCAUAUAUGAUUCUUUGAGCUCUCAGGGAAAAGUAACUAUGAAUGUGAUGUAAUGAUUAUUAAAACAAUAGCAGCAGCAGCAGCAGUAAUAGCAAUACUAUGGAGUUAUGUAGAUUUUAACAAAAUCCACAAUAGAAAUCCACAGUAUUGAUGUAUGGCAAUUAUGGGAAUGUGACAAAUGGGCUGGGACACUGUGAUUUCAGUUAAAUACAAUUGCGAAGGCUGGUCUGAUUUUUUUUAUUUUGUUUUGCAGACUUAGUAAUGUUCAGUUUAGCACUGAGCCGGUAAUCAACGACACUAAUACUAUGCUGGAAUUUUAAUAAAAAGGAGAUGGUAAUUAGAUUGCAAAAAGCUAUGAAUAACAAUGACUGAUGCACAGUUAUUUUCUUCCUAUUCCAAGGAAAACUGUAUAAAAACAGAAGAAACAAAUGAAAAUAUUUCAAUAGGCAUUCCCAACAAACAACGUAGUUGUGCUGCUGUAAAUACUCCAGCUGCAUGUGUCAAUAAAGCCAUUAAUCAAAUACAAGAUUUAGAAGUGAAAUUAGAAGAAUCUUUUCUGCAGCAUGAAAUUUUAUAUAACUUGGGAAAACUUCCAUGGGAUUUGGAUGUUAAUACUGUCAAAGAGACUGAAGGGAUCUGUUUACCAUUCUCUACUGAAGUGAAGGCUGAACAUUCAUUACACUGGAAAGAUAUUCAGUCUUUAAAGCAGAAAACUGCUGCUGUUGUAGCAGACGUCACCGAGUUAAUUUCACGAUUAGAAAAUGAGCGUAAAGAUGCUGAAGAAGCCUUAGAGUUUGAGAAGCAACAUAGAAAAAAACUAUACCUAAAUUCAGAUAAACUGUCAUUUUGGAGACUACAACAGCUUCCCAAAGCUGUUCAAAAAGAAUGGGAGAAAUGUUUGCAGGAUAUAAUAGAAUUACAGUGGCAUUUUGAAGAAAAAAAUGAGCAAUUACAGGAUGCACUAAACCAACUGACAAAAAUAGAGGCAGCCAAUUCAGUGAUGCAAAAGCAGAUAAACUUCAUGAAGAAAUGCAGCCCUCUGCUGGAAGAAAAGCUAUGUCAUGAAGAUGAUUCAAUGAAAGAAGUAAAAACUUUAUUUGAGGAGGCAAAAACUCAAUAUGAUACUGUUCAUCAGAAAUAUUUGGAAGUGCAAAAACUGCAUGAAGAAAUCAAAGAAGAAUGUGAAACAAAAAGACAAUAUAUGUUUGAGCAAAUAGAAGCCGAUGAGACUACAUUAAACCAACUUAGGGAUGAGUUAAAAGAAACCGACAUGUUUUAUGCUGACAUCAAUAACAAAAUACAUGGAUUGAGGGAAGAAAUACUAGAAAAUGAAAAUCGCCUUGAAGAGCUAAUCAAGCAAGAAGCAGAUAUAAAAGCUGACUUAUAUUCUUGGCGUGAUAAAGAAAUGCGUUUGAAGUUGAAAAUUUCAAGACAAGAAAAUGAAAACAAACAAUUGAUGGAUGAGCUUUUUGCAGAGAUGAAGACUAUGGAAAACUCAAAAUCCAGUAAAGAGUCUGAUCUACAAAAACUGAAGGAUAAGCUUGCAAACAAUCUUCAGCAGUUCACUUGUUUGCAAAAUGAAAUCCAAUAUCUUAAAAAUGAAAAUGCCGGAUUUACGUACAAAUUCAGAGAGAGUGCAAGAAGGAAAAUGGAAUACCAAUCAGAAAUUCAGGUUUUGCAGAAAAAUAUUCGUAGACUGGAAGAACAUUUAAAAAAAGUAAAUAAAGACCUUUAUGGUGCUGAAUUGGCUUAUGAUGACGCCAAAACAAAACUGGAAGAACUGAAUCAAGGCAUUAUUAAAGAAAAAUCACGUUUCAAGAAUUUGGAAGAGAAUAUUAAAAAACAAAUUAGAGAUGAAAUAAGUGCUUGGAAGCUGACUCAGAAAAGAAUUAAAGCACUACAAUUAGAGUUAGAAAGAAAGAAAAAGGAACAUGACAAAUUACAGGAAAAAGUUAAGAAUAAAUUAAAAAAAUAUGAGCUGCUUUCAGCUGAACAAGUAGAAAUACUGGAAAAAAAUAAAGAUAUAUACAAAGAACUUACUGAGAAAGUAGCUGAAUUAAAUCAGAAGAUUCAAGAACUUGAUGACAAGGAGGAAAAUGUGAAAAAUGAAUUAGAAAAUAAGAAGAAAUAUUUUCAGGGCCUAUUAGAUGAUAAAAAGGAGAAAUAUUUAGGCAUUUCAAGCCAAUUUACUAAAGUCAAUGGGGAAAUUGCACAUUUACAAAAAGAAAUUGCAAAAUUAAAUACUUUAAGGAAAGGACAGGAAAACCAGGUAGACAAUAUAGAAAAAUCUGUAGUGAUGUUGAGAGAAAAAUAUACCAAAAUAAAGUCCAAGGAGGAAAAUACUCAGAGAUUAGUUGAUUUUCUCCAUGCCCGGCUGGAUGCUGUUAAAAAAAAAAUAAAGAUAGACAACAGAAUAUUUGAUGGGCUGCUGUGGAAUAGACAAAAUGAUUUGAAAAUUAAGAAGAUUUUCCUGGAUGAUGUACUGGAUGAAAACCUACGCUUAGCACGCGAGUAUCAGAUGCUCCAAAUAUGCUAUCUGAAUGACAAAAAUCACCUUAUGGACUUCUAUGAACAUAAAGACAGAGCUGAAGCUGCAUUAUGGGAUCAAAAACAGCUCUCUCAGCUGCAAAAGAAGCUGCACAGGGUAUUGGUGGAAUACUUCAAAUUGCAAGCCUUCUAUAACCAAGCCAAGCUCGGGAGGUUGCAGGCAGCCUCUCGUGAGACUGUUCAGAAAAUAUUAGCUUUGAAGGGGGGAUUAUCAGAGACAGUCCAAAAUACAAACACUUUCUUGAAGUCUUUGACAGAUGGUUCAUCUACUUAGAAGAUAAUGCAAACAACCAUUUUGUCUUGGAUGCUGAAAUAUAAGACAAGAAAAGUCAUACAGUUCAGAUAACAGUGUAAUUGGACAUUCACCUGUUUGCCAUUUCACACUUCCAUGGACGAAAAACUCACCACCUCCCAGCAUGCCUUGCCAUUCUUUUACUUACAGCAAAUCCAUAACAAUGAAACAGUCUUUUUUAGCUCACUGAAAGCUGUCUCCCUCAAUCACUCCUCAAUGUUCUAUCUUAAUUUUGUGGAAGUUUAAAGUUUUCAAUGAGCUGGAGAUGAAUGAUUAAUGAAUAAAUUUAAAUGCUUCAUUUUGUCCAUGGAUCAUUAGUCAAGUCCUUUGUGGUAAGGACCUGAGAAAGGAGUGGAAAUUAUUGAGACAUUAGCCUGAAGCAAGUUUGAGGUAAAUAUUAUGCAAAAAAAAAGAAGAAAGAAAGAAAGAAAGAAGCUUGGUAAGUGAACAACUUUUGGCCAGGCAAAAAAUCUAGACUCCCAAGAAAUGUUUUUAUCUGGAUUUACUUUUGUAAUAUUAAUCUGAACAAUGUUACCUAUAGAAGGAAAACAUAUUUUGUAAAAAUAAAUUAGUCUGUCAUAAUUUAUUUGUUCUUGAGCAAUACAUGAUUAGUAAUUUCAAAAAUGAAUAGCAAAAACAACAAAUAAAUAUAGUGUUAUGAAUAUACUAAGUGGAAGAAGUUGAAAUAAUUUGAACAUUUCCCAACAAUAUAAAUCUUGGAGCAAUAUUUCAAAAGCCUUGAAAGCAAAAAACAAUCUGUAUUUAUAUUUAUAUCUCACAUUAUUUGUAUUAGGUUGAAAAUAUUUACAAGUUCUAUCCAUUUCCUCUAGUGUAACUGAUUUUACCUACUGUGAAAAUACUGUGUUAUUCUUGAACCAAAAAAAGUCAUUAAAAAUAACAGGAACCAAUAUGAGUUAUAAACAAUGCAAAAUUUAACAAUUAUUUUAGCAGAAUGGGUUAUUAUGAUAAUGGAAUAUUACAAAUAUAAAAUGCAAAUAAACAUUUUAAACAUUUUAAAAACAAUGUAACAAUGGUCCAUUUAAUUAAACUAUUGGACAGAUACAUACAGUAUAUUACAUAUAAUUUUUUUCCCCAAAGCUAUUCCCAAACCAGAAAAACAAUAUAAAUGGAUUAUGGGAUUGCAAAUACUUGUAUUAGUUAUCUUGCAUGAAGCAGCAGAAAUAGACAACGUACACUAACACAACCCAUGUAAACAAAAUUCUAUGUAUCCUUAAUUAGAUGGACAGUUAAGAAAUAGGAAAUAUAAUAAAUAUAUUUAUUAUAUUUAUCUGAGAGGGGUUCUGGACAGUGUAGAGAUUAAUGCAUAAUCUGUUCCUAUUUAGUCCUGAUACGUAUUGAAAAGCAUCACUUGUUUGAGAUGGACAUCUAUGAAAAUUUAAUCUAUAUAAAUAAAAAUGUAAAUGUUUGUUUGUUCAAAAUC